rnacentral:rRNA from 1 species
UACGAAGGGGGCUAGCGUUGUUCGGAAUUACUGGGCGUAAAGCGCACGUAGGCGGAUCGAUCAGUCAGGGGUGAAAUCCCAGAGCUCAACUCUGGAACUGCCUUUGAUACUGUCGAUCUGGAGUAUGGAAGAGGUGAGUGGAAUUCCGAGUGUAGAGGUGAAAUUCGUAGAUAUUCGGAGGAACACCAGUGGCGAAGGCGGCUCACUGGUCCAUUACUGACCGCUGAGGUGCGAAAGCGUGGGGAGCAA